rnacentral:lncRNA from 1 species
UCCGAUAAAGUGUGUUGCUGUUCCGUUUCAUAUUGUCGAUUUAUUCUGAUUUUCCUGGAUGCAUUCCUCCAUAGAUCAUUUAUCCUCGUCUGGAAGACGGUUGUCCCAACAUAUUUCGAUUAUUCCUCGUUAUUGCAUACCGAUAGCAGAAUACCGUCGGCCGUGACCCAUUUUACUCCUAGAACUCUAGUCUCGCUUGAUCACGUAGGAACGGCGUCUUGAUGCGCAUUAAAAUUCUCAUCACUGGUUGAUGUCUUUCCUAAGAUUCAUUGAAGCUUGGCGAUUUUUUUUGUUCUUGAUUCCUUGUUCAUGCAUUUUCCCUGGUUUUCUUAUGAUGUUCCAAGCAUAACUUCAUCAGUGCAAACCGAAUUACAUUUACUGUCAUUGCAAGCGUUCCUUCGAAAAUUCAUUAUUAUUGUUAGUACACCUGCACUCAAAUCUCCUCCUGCCUUCACCUACACGACGAUCACUACAGUGUUGUUUUUUCAGCUACUUUGCUUUUUCUCGCUGCUGUCUUCUCCGUCUUUCAUUUGCCCUUGCACUUCUCCCAGGGCAGGGAAGCAAACCGGUAUCUCAUCCAGUUUCUCUCCCCUCCUGCCUGAAGGUUAUCAUUCAAAACAUUCUUAAUCCUGACCACGAGGCGUCAAAUACUAGGCUUGCUUUUCUUGUUGGUCUUCUGGCAUUUGCUUGAUGCGACAUAGUAUUUAACAUUGAUCCUUCCGAUCGCGGUCUUUAUGCCAUUUCAAGCGUGAAACCUCUCGCAUUGAACAGCUGUACUUUUCUCUCGGUACUGAAUUUGUCUUCAGCUUUCGGGAUAGUAUUCCAGUUGCUACUACAUUGGUUUCCACGUUCACUUGCUCUCUAUCCUUCUGAACAGUCCUUGUGCAGGAUGUAACUGCAUGGUUCAAUUCAUGUAUCGUUUCUUUCUCAGGAAUUCGGGCAUUAUUGGCCAUAUUCAACUUUUUCUUAGCGUAAUUUUCGUCAGUUCUUCUGUCGUCAAAAACCAUAGUGGAUUUGAGUUUCAAAUUUCUUAUUCUAGACCACAUUUGUAAGGAAAAAUCCAUUCGAGAAUGCUUUCCAUUUUCCAUUCUAUCUUCGUUUCGUCUACGGUCUGCGCUCCAAAACAUUACUUCGGGCACGAGCAUCACCUGCGGCAGGAGCGACUGCAAUUCUACAUUCUCCAGUGGCGUCCUGCUGGUAGACUGGACUUGUCUCCUCGCCCUGCACCACUUCUGGCUCAGCACUCCUGCUUUCUAUUGCGGUCCACGAGGGUACCCAGCGCGCUCCUGCACGACUCUACGGUCUGCGCUCCAAAAGAUUUCUUCGGGCACGAGCAUCCCCUGUGACAGGAGUGACUGCUAGUCUACAUUCUCUUGCCAGUGGCGUCCUGCUGGCAGACUGGACUUAGCCUGGCGCGCUUGCACUUAAUUCUGGUUCCCAGUGUUUGCUGUCGCUUGUGGCGGGAGGGAAAUGUUACAGCACGAUCAUUCGCAAGACUCCUGGCCUUACCUCAAGAGCGACUAUCUUCAGCCCGAUCGUCCUGCCCCAGAAUCCAUACAGCACGCUUCCUCAUACUCGUGAAGGCGUCGCACGCCUGUCUUGGCGGUGUCCUGCACUGUGCUAACGACGUGUUCAUGUUCUCAAGGACUGCGUCUCGUCGCCGUCCCGCGACCGUCCAUCGGAUGUGCUCCUACAGUUCUUCGAUGUUGCCUUUUUCCGCAGGCAUAUGUAACAGAUUUAGUGUGGCAAGCUUUUCUGCUUUGGAAGAGUGGUACGCUGCUCAGCGAAUAGAUGGUGCUUCUAGGAAUCGGGUUAAUACGAAGCAGAGCAGUAAAAAGGUCUGGUUACAUGGACACCACUCAGUCAGUAAUAAGGAUUGUCGAUGUAUUAAUGAGCCGAUCUGCAAAUUUUUGGUGGCGAGAGUAAUGGACAUUCAUUCACAUUGUGCACUUUCGUAGUGUGUGUGUGUGUGUGUGUGUGUGUGUGUGUGUGUGUGUGUGUGUGUGUGUGUGUGUGUGCGC